CACGUAGGCGGCGAAGCAAGUUGGGUGUGAAAGCCCUGGGCUCAACCCAGGAAGUGCAUUCAAAACUGCUUCGCUUGAAUCUCGGAGGGGGUCAGAGAAUUCCCGGUGUAGAGGUGAAAUUCGUAGAUAUCGGGAGGAAUACCAGUGGCGAAGGCGCUGACCUGGACGAAGAUUGACGCUGAGGUGCGAAAGCGCGGGGAGCAAACAGGAUUAGAUACCCUGGUAGUCCGCGCUGUAAACGAUGAGUGCUAGACGGUGGAGGUAUUGACCCCUUCGCUGCCGAAGCUAACGCGUUAAGCACUCCGCCUGGGGAGUACGGUCGCAAGACUAAA
rnacentral:rRNA from 1 species